rnacentral:rRNA from 1 species
CCUACGGGAGGCAGCAGUGGGGAAUAUUGCGCAAUGGCCGAAACCCUGACCGAGCGACGCCGCGUGGAGGAUGAAGCCCUUCGGGGUGUAAACUCCUGUUGCCCGGGACGAACCUCCCCUUUCGAGGGGACUGACGGUACCGGGUGAGGAAGCCCCGGCUAACUCUGUGCCAGCAGCCGCGGUAAU